UUGACAGUCCUCAAGCCAGACACCCAGGGGAGUUUGUCCCUGAAUCCUGUCUCUCACUCACCUUGCACAUUUGUGUGACCCCGAACGAGUAUCUUGAUCUGUCUGAGCCUUGGUUUUUGAACACAGAGAAGGCAGCUACUACUAUCAAUCUCCACUGUGAAGACCAAAUGAGGUUUCCCAAGAAGUACAUUCAUUCAGGCUACCCAAAUGUGAGACCAAGAGGGCCUGCAUCACAAUGGCCACCCUGGACAUAUAUCUGCACAGACUCUAUACU